rnacentral:rRNA from 1 species
GACGAACGCUGGCGGCGCGCCUAACACAUGCAAGUCGAACGAGCGAGAGAGAGCUUGCUUUCUCGAGCGAGUGGCGAACGGGUGAGUAACGCGUGAGGAACCUGCCUCAAAGAGGGGGACAACAGUUGGAAACGACUGCUAAUACCGCAUAAGCCCACGGGUCGGCAUCGACCAGAGGGAAAAGGAGCAAUCCGCUUUGAGAUGGCCUCGCGUCCGAUUAGCUAGUUGGUGAGGUAAUGGCCCACCAAGGCAACGAUCGGUAGCCGGACUGAGAGGUUGAACGGCCACAUUGGGACUGAGACACGGCCCAGACUCCUACGGGAGGCAGCAGUGGGGAAUAUUGCACAAUGGGGGAAACCCUGAUGCAGCGACGCCGCGUGGAGGAAGAAGGUCUUCGGAUUGUAAACUCCUGUUGUUGGGGAAGAUAAUGACGGUACCCAACAAGGAAGUGACGGCUAACUACGUGCCAGCAGCCGCGGUAAAACGUAGGUCACAAGCGUUGUCCGGAAUUACUGGGUGUAAAGGGAGCGCAGGCGGGAAGACAAGUUGGAAGUGAAAUCUAUGGGCUCAACCCAUAAACUGCUUUCAAAACUGUUUUUCUUGAGUAGUGCAGAGGUAGGCGGAAUUCCCGGUGUAGCGGUGGAAUGCGUAGAUAUCGGGAGGAACACCAGUGGCGAAGGCGGCCUACUGGGCACCAACUGACGCUGAGGCUCGAAAGUGUGGGUAGCAAACAGGAUUAGAUACCCUGGUAGUCCACACCGUAAACGAUGAUUACUAGGUGUUGGAGGAUUGACCCCCUCAGUGCCGCAGUUAACACAAUAAGUAAUCCACCUGGGGAGUACGACCGCAAGGUUGAAACUCAAAGGAAUUGACGGGGGCCCGCACAAGCAGUGGAGUAUGUGGUUUAAUUCGACGCAACGCGAAGAACCUUACCAAGUCUUGACAUCCCUUGACAGACAUAGAAAUAUGUAAUCUCUUCGGAGCAAGGAGACAGGUGGUGCAUGGUUGUCGUCAGCUCGUGUCGUGAGAUGUUGGGUUAAGUCCCGCAACGAGCGCAACCCUUAUGGUCAGUUACUACGCAAGAGGACUCUGGCCAGACUGCCGUUGACAAAACGGAGGAAGGUGGGGAGGACGUCAAAUCAUCAUGCCCUUUAUGACUUGGGCUACACACGUACUACAAUGGCGUUAAACAAAGAGAAGCAAGACCGCGAGGUGGAGCAAAACUCAGAAACAACGUCCCAGUUCGGACUGCAGGCUGCAACUCGCCUGCACGAAGUCGGAAUUGCUAGUAAUCGUGGAUCAGCAUGCCACGGUGAAUAAGAUCCCGGGCCUUGUACU